rnacentral:rRNA from 1 species
GUCUAUGGCCAUGCCACCCUGAACAAGCCCAAUCCCGUCUGAUCUCAGAAGUUAAGCAGGGUCGGGCCUGGUUAGUGCUUGGAUGGGAGACCACCUAGGGAGACCAGGUGCCAUAGGCA